rnacentral:lncRNA from 1 species
UUUUUUUUUUUUUUUUUUUUUUUUAAAGAAAUUUACGUAUCGGAUGUUUAUUAGUCUUCAUGCCUAUCUGAUUAAAAAAAACUUCUUCAAAUCAGGACAAUAAAAGAAUUUGAGUAGGCAGCUUUUUUCUGGGUAGGUAGGGUUUGGGCAAACAAACCUAUUCUUUUUUAUGGCCUUAUCCUACUGUACAUGUACAAGUCUAAGAUAAAACAGACAAAAUGUGUUGUGAAAAUACUCAAAAUAAGCAUGAUAAGUGUGAUCACUUAAAUGGACAGAGCAAGCAUUUGCUAUGAAUGCUAUUCAUUUCACACAUUAUUUCCACACCAAGCCUUAAUAAUGAUUGUGUCAAUGCCAAUAACAUAACAAUGACAUAUGUUGAUAUGUUUGAUUCAUGACAGAGUCACUAACAC